GACCCAUCAGCUCCUAUGCCCCAGAAAAGCUUCACACCUUCAUCAGCACCCUAUCCAGCAUAUACACAAAAUGAUUCAAUUUUUAGCUAAAAGGUGAAAUGACAAAAAUACCCACCGAAAUCCAACAGUAAUCUGGUGGUUGUUUUGAAAAACCAACUUUGCAGAACGUAUUGCAUUCAGUCUUCUUCAGAAACACAAACACCCAUCGAAUUUAAUUCUCGUUCAUUGAUGAGCAGAAAUGGCUUUCGAGCAUUUUAUAACAUCUUUUUCAUUUCCAAAUAUUUU